AGAGGUAUAGCUCAGUGGUAGAGUACUUGCUUAGCAUGCACAAGGUCUUGGGUUCAAUCCCUAGUACCUCCA
rnacentral:tRNA from 1 species